AGUAAACUCCUGAAAUGAAGCUAUGAAUCCAGAUGGGAAAUAGAGAGUACAGACAUUUUUAUCAAGGCCUGGACAGUUUCUAUAUUAUUGUUGGAUCUCAUGCAAUCAGUGUUCUUUUAUUCUUCUUUCCAGACCCUGGCACUGCAGAAUGAUGAGUUCAGAAGAAUUAUGAUGCUCACUCUUAAGUUGCGCUUACCCCUUGAAACGGGAGGUUUCAGUUGCGCCAGCAGCGAUUGUUGCGCCAGACCCAACCCCUCUGGCAACGGUGGCAGCUGUUGUCAUACCAAUACCACCCCGACUGGCAGCGCUGGGCAGCAGCCUUUGCGAUUCCUCCCACGUCUACGCCCAUGGCCAGCAUCAUCACAAACAUGGCAAGCGCCAAAAACAUCACCAAGAAAGCCUUGUUCUCCAUGAUUUGCUGCUCAGACUAAGAUCAAGUAGGCUUGUAUAUUAGAGAGAAAUGAUUUGGUCUGUGAGGCAGGACUCAGGAGG
rnacentral:lncRNA from 1 species